AAAGCUUUUUUAAGCUUCAAACUGUGAGAAGUGUUUUGUGUAAAUAAUACUUACCUUUAGCCUCACGUAAUACAUUUUUCUCAUGUUCGCGUUCUUGCCUAGCAGUAGCUAAUUUUACACCUAAAGCACCCGUAACCAGUCGUCUGGCUAAUGCCGCGCAAGUUUCUGGACGACUUCUGUACGGCUGUAAAAAUUCCGCGCUCCUUUUUGCUUUUGUUUUACUCAAGGCUGUGGCCUCGCUCAGGGGUCGUGUUUUAACAAAUGCAUGGUCCGAAGCCAAUACUUCAGCAGCUAAAACCGCAACAAGAGGACUACUGAAGACUCCAAGACAGUGUGUGUCAUCUACCCACUUUAGUUCAAACCCACCAUUCUUAAAAGGACUAAAAACAGCUGCUAAAUCGCUGGUUUUAAAUUCUGAUGGGAAAUUGUAAAUUUCAACAACAUGAGCAAAUUCGUCGCUGGAUACCUCGAUGUGUUUAGUGUAAGGUUUGUAAUCGCUUUUCGGUUGUUCUAUCACAACAUUACCAACAGCCGCUGUUAACUGAAAUUAAAAGUAAUUAACAUUAAAAAAGUACAUAGUUUUGUCGUUUUAUGUUGGUGAAAGGUAAAUUCAUAAAUACUUGCCUCCUCGAUAAGAGUUGGAUCUAGACAAUCACCAUUAUCGUCGAAUAAACUGUCCCAGUCACAUUCAUCCCUAUUAAUCUUUUUAAUUGGUGGAGAAGGUGGAGGUGCAGGUUUACUUUUCUGACGCACAACCUUUUUUACUUUCUUCUCUGGUGGUGCUGUAGGAAUAGGAAUAACUUCCUUAAUAGGUUGUUGUGGUUCUUCCUGUACACUAUCUGAGAUAAUCAGCACGUUUGAUACCAUAUUGCGACGCAUCAUUUGCGCGUUCUUUUGGUUUGUUAUCUCGUCCUUAUUUGAAAUUUCCGUACGUUGUUUGUUAUUUGCGUUUGAAUUAGUUACAACAAUAUCGUUAUUACAUUUAUCAGAUCUGUCUAUUUCUUCAUUAACAUUAACUUUACUAUAUAUACAUGCCUCAACUGAGUCUAAGUUAUUGUUAUCUUCACUAGAAUUACUAGAGAUUUCUUGUUCUUCAAUAGUUCCUGACUGAAGUGUAUCAGUUGUCUCACAUUUAAUUUCAGGAGCAGUAGUACUGUCUGUAUCAUUUGGCACAUCUUCAUUUAGAUUAUCUAACUGCUUAGUUGUUAUUUUCUUACUAGUUUCCAUCGUAAGUCCUUCUGGAAUAACAGAAGAAGUCGGGUCCUUUGGAUCUUCUUGCAGACAGAUAUUAAUUUCAGAU
rnacentral:misc_RNA from 1 species